AUCACUCCUGAUACUGGUGAGCCACUGAACCAACACCGGCCACUGACUACCUCCAGAUUUCUUUUUAUUUGGAAACUAUGCAAACUGUUGGAAAAAACUGGAAUUGACUGGCUGUGUUUGGUUUGGACAACUCAUCGAAAUGAGAGGGAGCCCAGCACGAGUUCUGCUUGAGUGAUGUCUGAAAAUCUGGCCUCUCAGUCUACCUUAAAAGCCUACCUAUUUGGCUUUCACUAGAGUUCAGAUACAUAAAACAAAUAUCUUUGCUUUGGCUUCCCUUGAGUCAUAUCAAUCUACACCUCAUCAAGAAUAUGAAGUUUGGAAGAACAAAGAAGCAAUUGAGCAUCCUAAACUCAACGUAGGGCAAGUAACAUGGACAUUGAUACACCAAGUUCCUUCUUGUUUUUCCUUGAAAGUUGGCUUGAUGAAUGUAUUCUGCAGGGAUUUUAAAGGUGUGGAAAUGAAGCAGACAUCAAGGACUGCUGCAGUUUACUGGGGGUCCACUCCAGACCUUAGUUGCUUCAGUUUUUCCCUGUACCUGGAGGUAUCGUCAGUGAAGCCUGCAAAACAGCAAAGAUGGCAGCCUGCUCCUUCCUCUGGAAGCUCCAUCCCAGGGAUGCACUGACCUGUUGCCAGAAGGAACAUGCCUGUAGGAGGUGGCUGGAGACCCCUGCUGGGAGGUCCCACCCACUCGGGAGGAAUGGGAUCAGGGACCCACCCCAAGAAGCCCUCUGGCUGCCCUUUGGUAGAGUAGGUGCCAGGAGACCCUUCCUUGCCUGGACCAUUUGUAUUUUCCAAAGUUGGCAGGCUGGAAUGGCUGAGUUUACCAAACUGCAGAGAUGACAGCUGCUCUUCCCCUGUGAGCUUCAUUCCAGGGAGAGAUCAGAACUUUGUCUGUAGAACCCUUGCUUGUGUGGCUGAAGCCCCUGCAGGGAGGACUUGCCCAGUGAAGAGGAAUAGAUUGAGGUACCGCUUAAAGAAGCAGUCUGGCCAUGAUCUGGCAAGGCAGCUGUGCUGUGCUGCAGGGAACCUCUCCUUGCUCGAACUUCUUGUAUUCUUCAAAGCUAGCAGGCUGAAACCAAUAAAUUUAAAUUUAAAUAGGUAAAAAUAAGUAAAUAAAGAUAAAGAAAAAUAAAUUGACUGAUUUAUUCUGCCUUCAGGAGCUCUUAGAUGAUGUAGGAAAACAAAUAAUACUGUACAAUCAAAGUCGAAAUUCCUUAAGCAGAGGGUCUUAUGAGAACACAAAGGGAAGGCAACUGGAGCUUUACAGAUGACUUCCUAGACUAGAGAUACCUGAUGUGGGUCUUUAGGGUUAAGUCAUUAAUAGCAAGGCCAAGUAGAGGAAGAGCAUAUCCUACAGAGAAAAAAAGAAUAAGCAAAGGCUGGCUGUUGAGAGAAUUGCAAGUGCUUAGUAUGACUAUAGCGGUAGUCUCAACAGGAGCAGGACAUCCUUAGGGGAUGUUUUGAAAAAUUUUUGUGGAAUUUUCUUGGUCCCAGUAAUUAGUAAGCACUAUUAGCCUUAAAAUGAUAAAGGGCCACUGAGCUAGAUGUUCUGCAAUGGGCAAGACAAUUGCACACAAUGAAAAAUUGUCCCAAGUUCAAGUUUGGACAAGUUAGGGAUGUCCCUCCAGGCAUUUUUGUCAAUGAAAAACCUCUUUGUAACUGUCUUGGCAUAGAGCCUAACUCCAUAUAUACAUAUAACACAAAAUAUUUUUGCACAGUUUUAAUAUACACUAAAUUUUCCAGGGACACAAUUACAUAAAUUAAGGAAAGAUCAUGCUUUGCUGUGUUUGGAACUUAUCAAGAGUCAUUCACCAUUCUAGAAAAUAGCAUCAAAGAUGCAAUAUAGCUCUUGGUGUCUGAGUUGCCAGUUCAGCCAUCUGUGUCAAUCUGUAUUUGUAGAUAUUGCAGUCAAGGUGAUAUUAUUUUUAAGCAAAAGUGUCUGACAACUUUAUUAAGUUCCCCAAUGUAGCUGUGCCAUAGCAUUUUAGAUUAUUUUAAAUUGUAUAUUACUUUCCUUUUAUUUUUCCUCUAAUGAUAGAUACUUAGGGCAUUUUUUUUAAAAACCCAAUGAGAAGACAGGUUAUUUUAUCUAUGAGUUUCAUUUCAGGAUAGUAAAAGUGUAUUACAAAAUGCUGGUUGUAACAACGGGGACAUUAGGUUGCAAAGGACAGAAUGGGCUGGUAUGUCAGUAGCAUCUCUUUCCCCAAAGACCUCAGUUGUGACAUGUGAAACUCUAAUUGCUAUGUGAUGUUUCCAGUUGUAAGGGCCUGAUUAUGGUUUAAUGCUUGCUGGAAAAAUAAAUGAGCAAAAUCAA
rnacentral:lncRNA from 1 species